CACAUGCGAUUGAUUGUGACUAAACCUCGUGGUUGAAAUUCAACUCUGUGGAGAAACUCCAACAUGGUGGCUUGUCCUUCCAGCCUAAGCGACUGAUGUCUCAACUCUUAAUUGACAACACAAACCAGCGAGAUUGAUGUGACCGACUGCUGAAUGUGCCAGCAGAUACACAGCACUAGAUUACUAACAGAAGCACUCAAAUAAACAAAUGUCUUUCACAUUUCAACUCUUAGUGACAACACAGCGAGACUGACUACUGCAUGCGUAUGUGGAGGUGCAAUACAAGCUCUAUAUCAUUAUAAUUUUUAUGGACUGAACGGUGCAGUGUUGGAAGCAAGCACACGUUAGACAAGUCUUAACUCUGCAAGAGUGUACUGGAGCUAGGUUGUUUCCCAAGGGGUAGUCACUCCAAUGCCAUUGAAAUUUGUAAACAAGAGUCUCUACAGUAUGAUGGGAGUUCAAUGAAGUUUUGGAUAACACCUGCAUGUCUUGUUGUUAUUGUCUGUUGGUCACCACCUGGGCACUCCCCUGGACUCUGAGACAACCCUCAGUUGUGAGAAGUAGACUGAUGAAAUAAUAAUGGUCUGUUGCUUGCAAGUUCGUUUCCCGUUUCUAUGCUAUCAAGAUCGUGACAGAAAUGAAAGUAGUGUGACUGUCUCUCUUCCUUCGACUAAGCUCUGUACGUAUCAGGUGAAAUAAAUACAGAUAUUACACUUUGCCCAUUCACUGUCCAUUAGUGCAUGCAAAGUAAUGUCCCACUGCAAGGUAUCUAAGUUUGUUCAUCAUUGUUAGAAUAUUCCAUAGAGAAGAAACGCUCUUGAUGUUUCAAUGUAAUUAUAUGAUUGAUUUUGAUGGGGUACACACUCAGAACAAGUGUUAUGGGCAAAGUGUAUGACUGUCAGGGUUCUAUCUGUUUUAUUGUUUGGGAGAAGGUAAAUUGAAUAUAAAGGAAGUUUGGAGAGGGUCCCCCUUUAGGGAGCAUUUUUCAUAUGGAUUCUCAGAAUGAAAGCCUGAUGCCAUUUAUAUAGCUUUUGAAAUUAAGAAUUUGCAGAUAGUAAAGUAUCCUCUGUAUAAUGCCUAUAGGGGGUUCGAGAGCUGGAAUCCCCCUCCUGCAUGUUAGUAUAUAAUCUUUCCAUCAAAAUGGAAAACGUUGAAGACCAGAGCUAUAGUUGAAGAUGAUCGGUUUUUGAAAGAUUUCCACACGUGGUGGUAGCCUACAUUAAUAAGAGUUGCACCUUGCCAACCUCUGAGCCCUCCUAUACUUGUCUAAAAUUGCUACGCCUUGCACUAUUGCAUGUCUUAAAUCAGAUAGGAUACUGAGUGACAUUGGUGUGUUAACGUAACCCCAUGUUGUAAGGACAACAAUGGAGGAAAUGCUAGAUCCAAUAAAGCCAAUGCUAUUGUGUGGUUAAUUAGCAAUUGUCCAGUUCAUUCUUAUGGCAACAGUAGGAGGACAAGUGCUGUGGUCGACUUCCCUCAUGACCCCUUUAACCCUUUCCCGGCUUUAGCCGUCAUAUGACGGCAGCGGUAGUGAUAAUUUUCAAAAAAUCGUUGUGGGCACUGUGUUGGAGCUAUGCACACACUGUAGGUACCAGCACAUGCGCAUUGGGCUGCUCUUUCACGUGGUAUCUUUAAUAUCUUGCCUCGAGGUACACUUUGUGCAGUACUGUCGAAAGAAAAGUGACCGUUUGAUAAUGGCUACAAGAUCUUCGUAGUACAACCUCAGCGAGGUUCUAGGGCAGCUAGACAGUGAGAAUAACUAUGCUUAUGGCCUUGUUGAGUAAGAGGACAGUGACUGGGAUCAUACUAAGAGAGGAAACUACUUUUCAGAGGUCAAGCUAUAAACAUAGAGCCUAAAGAGCCAGAGGAAGAAGCUCCUGAGCAUGAACCAAAGUCCUGGACCUUGUGAAGAAAACAUUUCCCGGGAAAAGAGCGUCUGCCGAUACGACCUCGCAGAGAAGUUUCUGCUGAUCCUGAUUGAACCAUGUCACCGUAAGAACAUUGAGAACACUUACUUAGUGUUUUUAGUUACUUCAUGCCUUCAUACAAUAUUCUUUAUGUUCAUAAUUGUAAAAUGUGUAAAAAAUCGUUAAUUAGUGGGGGGUGGUCAGUUGCUAGGUAACGAUGAUGAUGUCAUGGUACCCCCAGGAUCUGGGCUACCUGUAGGAAAUAGUUGCAAGUGAUUUCAAUGCAUUGUUCAUGAGAUAUUUAUUUUUAAAGAAAAAUAUGUAUUUAUUCUGUAUUUUGUUUUUUUAAUUAAAGCCGGGAAAGGGUUAAACAAUCCAACAAACUAAAACUUACCGGGGGAGUUCGUAGUAGCUGCUUGGAAGUUUUCUGAACGGGGGUGGUUCUAAAAGUAUUUUCAUGGUAUAAAGGCAAAUAAAUAAAUAAUUCAGACAUUCGUGAUACUACAACUAUAUCCCUUUAGACUUCAAAAUCACGUAGAAACUUCCUAAACAGUGCCUACCAUAAUUAUAGCAGGUAAAUUUGGGGAGCCUAAUAUUUCGCAAAGAGGCAAUUCUUAUCUAUAUUAUUGGUGAUUUUUAAUUUGAUAAUCGUGCUGUGUGGUAUUAUUGACCUCAUGCGAUACUGUGGCUCAACCUGGCUAAAAAUCAAGCAAAAAAAAACAUUGGUGCUAUUUUUAAUUUUGGCGCCCCUCACCUUUUGAAUUGGCAUAUUGCCAUGGUUACUAUAAAUUCUCACCCUGACGUUUAAUCUUGACUUCUGCUCAUCUCUGACUGAUUGCAGCUGAAAUUCAUUUGUCACCAAAUGCAAAAAUUUCUGGUUUUGAUUAUUAUACAUUUGAAACUGGAACACUUUUGUGCUUGUCGUAUAAUAAAGCUGUGUUCUCAUUUUUACUGCAUUUACUAGUUUUUGGAGUUAUUAUUAUUGAAUUCUUAAAGUCCCCAGCCCACAAAUCGCGGCCGUUAUUCUGAAUUAAAGUAUACUUACAGAAAUGACACAAUGUAUUAGUUCAGUAAACAUAAGUUACAAAGUGAUUUUGAUUCUUGCUAUUCUUCGCAACCUUUCUGCUGUGUGUCAUGAGACUAGAUUCAGACAUGCAUCUUAAUUAUGUACGGCUAGUAGAAGGCAGGAUCUGUACAUUGUAACGUGUUAGUGUAGAUAUUGGCAAACACUGAAGCACAGUUGAGAACUCAAACUCAUGGAUUUUUAUCGAGGUUACAUAACUUAUGAUGUACAUGUAAGUCAAGUGUUCAGUGGGUAUGCCUAUGAUUGGAAGCAGAUUAGUUUUUAGACGAUGCCUUUACACUCUUGAGUACCCAGUCUAUCCCAUCAUGCAUGUUGAGAUCAAAGUUAUUCAUGGCACAUUGUAUAUGUACGUAUACUGCUCUCAAAUGCAUGCUGUAAGUACUGCAGUUGGUCUAAGUCUGGUAUUAUACUUAAAUUAGCAACUACUCACUUUUUACCAUCCACCCUUUACAGUGAGUAAACAUCAAAGCAUGUACAAUUACCUAGUACGUAUAAUAAUUCCAAUAGGCACAGCUCUAUGGUACCCAAAACCAGACUCAAUGGUACAAUAUUCUAAUAUUCUCGCUGAUAGCUAGGGCUAAGUGUCCUACUCACCGCAAUCCCUUCUUCAGUUUUGGCCGAGCAUGGUUGUAUCUGCCAUCGUCUGUCAGUCAGCUCAGUUAGCUUCAUAUCAUUGCUGAUCUGUGGGGAAUGAAUUACAUGCAAUGAUGAUCACACAAUUCUUGUAGGUACAUCAGUCAUGUAACUAUAAGGUCUACUCUCAGCUAGAAUAAACGGAAUAGUACACUUACAUCAUCAGCUUUUAAAGCCAUCCCUAGGUCUUGUUUAUUUGCAAACACUAGUAGGGGUACUCCAGUGAGUUUAUCCUCCACCAGAAGCUCAUCCAACUGUACUCGUGAUUCUUCUAGUCUACCAGAAUCAGUGCUAUCCACAAGUAGAUCUGAGGUGUCAAUGAUGUGGGUUUAGCAGGUUUGACCAUAAUAAUUAUAAUUAUAUAGACUAAAAUUAUAGCCGUACAUUUGUAUAUUAUUUUGUACAUACAUGUAGUACAAUCCUGGCUAUAGACGUGACAGUUUAUGUUUAUAUCUUAUAUACUUACGCUGACACUUCCUGUUGCCUGCAUAAAUAUAGUUUGCUGUUGGGUUGGCGGCGCUUUGAGCACUGGAGCACUGCAACAACCAUCUUUUUGGUGAAGAUCUCACAAAACGAAUAUACCACGUAAAUGAAUGUUUGCAUUAUUUAGACACGUAUAAUCGAAUGUCGCUAAUAGUCGCACUCUCCAGCUCGUUUACUCAUAUUCAAUGUCUGCACGUAACGAUAAUAGACGUGUACUACUAAACCAAUCACCAUGCCUAUAGGCUGACACAAGAACCACCUUCUUGAGUUCCGCUGCCCACUGCUUUCAGCCCUUCUUGAAGGCCACUUCCCACUGCCACGAUUUCUUUUACAGUCCUCAUUUUAUAUCUCAAAUCGUGCCUGACUACAACCCAUGGCUGGAGCCAACCAUUUUAAACUGGAACAUUUUUGUGCUUAUCGUUGUAUAUAUAAUAAAGCUGUUCUCAUUUUAACUGCAUUUACUAGUUUUUGGAGUUGUUAUUAACUUGAAUCAGAAGAUUGGUUGUUGAGAGAAUCAGUGAAGAUUGCCAUCACUCAAGUGGAAUUUAAGGAAAGGAUCGUCUUAAUUUAUGUUACCAUUCUCUUGGCACUGUUUGAACACUUUACUAGCAAUGUCAUAUUUACUCGUUCGUAUAUCAAUCGAAAUUCGAGCAUACGAUUGAAUGUAUAUAAUUAUAGUACAAUAAUUGUUUUUUAUAAUCUGGAUUAGUUUCACAAGAGCUCUGUAAGUUGCAGUUUCUGAGUUACUUGCCUGCAUAAAUUCUUCCACCCUGUGAACGCGUCUCUUUUAACCCUUUCCCGGCUUUAAUUAAAACAAAAUAAUACAGAAUUAAUACAUGUUUUUCUUUAAAAAUCCAUAUCUUAUGAACCAUACAUUGAAAUCACUCGUAACUAUUUCCUACAGGUAGCCCAGACCCCGGGGGUACCAUGACAUCAUCAUCGUUACCUAGCAACUGACCACCCCCAACUAAUUAGCGAUUGUUUACAAACAUUCACAAUUAUGUACACAAACAAUAUUAUACGAAGGCACAAAGUGCUAUAGACACUAAGUAAGUGUUCUCAAUGUUCUCACGGUGACAUAGUUCAAUCAGGAUCUGCCGAAACUUCUCUGCGAGGUCGUAUCAGCAGACGCCCUUUUCCCGGGAAACGUUCUUCACCUACACACACGUUUACAAGUUCAAUGGUGGCUCAUGAUAUCCACUGCUGUACUAACUAGCCUAAGCAAACCUAUACUGAAGCUAUCCUUUUCAAAAUUAAUAUCCGAGUUUGGCAGCAUCACCCUUGCUCUCCCUGAUCUUAUUAUUAUAAUAAUAACAUUUAUGGUAUAGCAAAUUUGCAAUUUAUCUCUAAACAUUUUUUCGCUAUAUGUCUACCAAUACCAAUUAUUAAUAUACAAAUAAUUAUAACGACAUCACUUACCAGUGCUACAUCGAACCUCCUCAAGUAAGUCACAAUCUCUUGAUGACCUGCAUAGCAUGCAGUUUCUUUAAUUUUCUUUUCACAAGUGCCUAGUGAUGGUAAUACAACUUGGCAUCCUAAUAAUUAUGGCCUGACAUUUAUAAUUUAUAAUGUUCAACUUUUAGAUUUCUACUGUAACUUCGUCUUUUUCCAUAUAUAUUUCGAACUUUUUUGAACUACACCACAAAGUGUAAGAAAAUUACAGCAACUCCUUGUAUAUCUGUGCAACUCGUGCACUCGUCUGCAUAUAGAAGUAGUUCAGUCAGUGUAAGUCUUCAUCUUAGGAAGUAUUUAUGUACCUUAGGCGAUUGCUCUAUAUCUCUGCUCCCGCGUCUGAUUUAGGUAUCAAGACUCUGUCUUACAAAAAAUGUUGUGUUUCCUUUGCUUCUGCAUACCCACCUACCCUUGGAUGUGAUGACACUGCGGCCAUAAUUUAUAGUCAUCUUGAGACAUAUCAGUGGAAAGCCGCACUUUUCCAACAAGGCCGCUAGAUCUCAAAAGUUGCACAUGUUUCUCUUCAAGGAAUGGCAUACUUUUCCACUAUGAACAAACUACUCACCAGUCAAACAACUUCAGCACAACGCGAAGCCACCAAACAGUAGAGCAGUUGUCAGACAUCAAACCAGACAACCAAACAGGUUAUACUAGUAUUUUACUAUAGGGCUACCUAGUCAGUGCCGAGCCCCUCUUGAAUUCCUCUUCUCCCAUUGUUUUCAGGGCUUCAUUGUGGUUUGCUGCAAAGGUGGUUAAAUACGUAAAAAAGGCAUGAAACGAGAAACGGCAAUCCCGUUUUCUAUAUAAGCAGUUACCAUUCUACCCCAACGUACCUUCAUAUCUCUUGCAAGCACAGCAUUUCCAUCAUGGGGUCCCCAGUACAUAACUAUUGUUCAAUUUUGUUAAUGCCUUUUAGGAAUGGAAUAAACAAUGGUAAACUCAACUAGCCAAAAUGAAACACAAUAAGUACAAGUUGGAGAAGUUCCAAAACAAUAGAAUAAGAUAACACGGUGAUAAUAAUUAUAAAGGUACCGUUUUUGAUAAUUAUUUCAAUUAUUUUUUCGCUAUUUCCAUUUUCUAAUACAUAAUUAUACUAAUGUUAAAAAGAUAAUCAACAUUUACGUUAGUUGAUUUAAAGUGAUCGCGGAAGUGAGGUCGAGGGUGGAGACAAUUAACUGCUUCCCCCCACCCACUAGAAUAGAUCUACUAUAAUUAUAGGGACUAACCUUGUUUGUGCACGAAGACCCUGGGGGGCAGUAUGUGCAGGGGGCAGUAUGAGCAGGGGCUGCCUUUCUUCUGGCACACACACGACUGACAGGUGCCAGUUUUACAUCUACAGCAUCUCGCGGUUGACAUCUUUAAUUUGUGUACAUUCAACAAAUCUAAUUAUUACAUUUAUAAUUUAUCAAGUCAUCGGAUGCUAAGUUACUCACCAAUCGGUCCUUUGAUAGCUUCGCUUCAAUUAGCGCUGUAUCGUCAUCUAUGUGUCCUACAAAGAAGCGGAACUGAAACUUUCUGAUUGAGGAGCUCAUCGCAAGUAUAUAAUAAUAGCAUAAUUAUUUAUAUCAACUUGCAAUUCUUUCGAUGGUCUGAGUAUUCCCUGCCAUUCAAUCAAUAAGUAUAGGAGAUAUCAGGAUACAUUGACUACGCACAUCGACUCAAGGUGGAUGAUUUUGAUCCCAUAUUCUCGUCACGGAAGAAGCUGCUCCCUAGACACAGUGACUUGAGCUUCUAUAACUGGGACACUAACUUCUCCUCGUCCAACUCCACUCCUAAUUAUCAG